AUACGUAGGUGGCAAGCGUUGUCCGGAUUUAUUGGGCGUAAAGCGAGCGCAGGCGGUUUCUUAAGUCUGAUGUGAAAGCCCCCGGCUCAACCGGGGAGGGUCAUUGGAAACUGGGAGACUUGAGUGCAGAAGAGGAGAGUGGAAUUCCAUGUGUAGCGGUGAAAUGCGUAGAUAUUAGGAGGAACACCAGUGGCGAAGGCGACUCUCUGGACUGCAACUGACGCUGAGGCACGAAAGCGUGGGUAGCGAACAGGAUUAGAUACCCUGGUAGUCCACGCCGUAAACGAUGAGUGCUAAGUGUUGGAGGGUUUCCGCCCUUCAGUGCUGCAGCAAACGCAUUAAGCACUCCGCCUGGGGAGUACGACCGCAAGGUUGAA
rnacentral:rRNA from 1 species